AGUUCUAUCACUUACACACAUUAAAACAAGUCCCUCUAUUUUCCUCCAAAUCACACAAUAAAAGCCUCCCUUUUCCUUUAUCAGUUUUUCAAAGUUUCCAGCAGCAAUCAAUAUCCUCUUUUUUUCAUCUAUUUUUCAUAAGUUUUCAGCAGUCAAUAUCCCUUUUCCUCCUCUCAAUCACAAUUUCUAAGAAACAAAAGAGAAUUGGUUGAGAAUCAAGUUCAAAUUUCAUCUUCCUAUUUCAAGUUCUUUCAACGUUUAAAGAGGUUCUGGAUCUCAAGUUUGCGAUCAGGCGCAUCAUUAGGAUUAUCAUCUUCUGCUAUUGGUGAGCCUCCUUUCUACUUGGGGCAAAUUUAGAUAUGAUAAUUUCUCUAUGUUCCUUUCAGUAUCAGGGUAUGCUGGAGCCUUUUCCCGAUAGUUAUAGUUAGUCAUUAGAGGCUUCACAGACUGGUUUAGUUGUCAAACAGAUCUUUUAAUUCUUAGUCUUAUUUAUUAUGACUAUUGUAUCUUCAGACGUUAUGCGAUAUUAAUGAACAUUGAUG